CUGGGUGUGGCUCAGUGGUAGAGCACCUGCUUAGCAUGAGCAAGUCCUUGGGUUCAAUCCCCAAUACCUCCA
rnacentral:tRNA from 1 species